GACGAACGCUGGCGGCGUGCUUAACACAUGCAAGUCGAACGAUGAAGCUAGAGCUUGCUCUGGUGGAUUAGUGGCGAACGGGUGAGUAACACGUGAGUAACCUGCCCCGAACUCUGGGAUAACUGCUGGAAACGGUAGCUAAUACCGGAUAUGACCAAUGAAGGCAUCUUCUGUUGGUGGAAAGAAUUUCGGUUCGGGGUGGACUCGCGGCCUAUCAGCUUGUUGGUGAGGUAACGGCUCACCAAGGCGACGACGGGUAGCCGGCCUGAGAGGGUGAUCGGCCACACUGGGACUGGGACACGGCCCAGACUCCUACGGGAGGCAGCAGUGGGGAAUAUUGCACAAUGGGCGCAAGCCUGAUGCAGCAACGCCGCGUGAGGGACGACGGCCUUCGGGUUGUAAACCUCUUUUAGUAGGGAAGAAGCGAAAGUGAUGGUACCUGCAGAAAAAGCACCGGCUAACUACGUGCCAGCAGCCGCCGUAA
rnacentral:rRNA from 1 species